CAGGCCUCAUUUAAAGAUUUGCAGUGGAGGUACGGGUAUCUUGCUGGAGAUCCUGAGGCCUUCUAAAGAAUUGAAGAGAGGAAAAUAAUUUCAUCUUUAAUAAUCUCCAGGAAGAUUCCUGUGCGUAAGGUAGCCCUGUUUUAAGCUGAACCAGAUGAUGCCUGGAGACUCCAGAAUCCACUAUUCUGUGAUUUUGUGUCAGCAAGAAACCACUGCUGCAAUGAAAACUAACUGAGCUGCAUUUGUGAGAUCUAACAGCAAGUCAAAGACUUCUGAAGUGGGUCUGAUUUUCUCCGUCACAUUGUCAACUCUGCGAAGCAGUGAUGAUUGUAAAUGUUGCACAUCAGAUAACGAUAUGCAUGAAAUAGAAUUACUGUUGUUCCUGCGAGACGCUCAGCUAACUUGCAAACUUGAUAAAGGAGUCAAAGGCUUAGGAAGACAUCACUGAGAAUAAGAGAGCACCAUUGACCUGCACUCUGGAUGGGCUUCCUGGGAAGGCAGCAUUAUGCCCCACAAGAGAUUCUGUAUUCCAUUUUACAAAGAUCUCAUCUGGAAUUUUCCACCCCUUACAGCAGUCAAAUUAUAACAGAAUGAUGACAUCAACUGAACAAAAUACAGACUGAUUAAGUGACUUUUAAGGAUGUAUUUCAAAGAGCAGAAAAGUCUGUAAUUGCAAAAAUCUGUGAUGCUGGACCAAAUUAAGUUCCUUUAUUCCUUGACUUCCAAAUUGUCAAGCAAUAUGUAGGAAAAUCACACCAAAAAAAGAGGAAACAUCAGUGGUUGAUUAAAUCAUCUGUAGAGGUAAAACAGCCCGGUUUUCUUCUGCCUACUCUCAAAUGGUAUAAUUUCUUCAUGUAUAUUUAAAUUUGCUGCUCUGUCCAGAUCCUUUUCACUUGGAUGACCUCUUUCUUGAGCUGUGACCCCCAGCAUUCACAGCUCCAGCUGGACCAGAGUAUCUUGACUUCACACUAAGAAGUCCCCCAGCUGAGUUAUGCCUCUUCGUCACGGAAUUCACCCCACCCCCUCCACUGACGCAAACUUCAGAGAGCAGCUCCAUGGAGGAUAACCUAAGUGCUGCCUGCAGAGCUAAGUCAUUCAAGAAGAUGUUAAACAAUACAGACACAAUAUUGACACCUGGAGUAUGCUGCUAAUGACAUGCCUCCGACUGCAACUUUCUGUGGCUGUGUAACAGAGCUCUGGGCUUGGAUGUUUAGCCAGUUUUCAAUCCAACUCACUGUCAUCGGUUUGUCUCUGGCUAUGUUGUGUGGGAGAAAGCUUUACUAAAUUCAAGGUGAUUUCAGAAUGAUCUCCUGGACAUAUUAUCCUGCUUUUCGGGAGCUCCAAGUCAUUGUCAUUAAGCUGACUCCUGUGAUUCUUUUAUCCUGUAUGCCAACUUUGCA